UACGAAGGGGGCUAGCGUUGCUCGGAAUUACUGGGCGUAAAGCGCACGUAGGCGGGCUAUUAAGUCGGGGGUGAAAUCCUGGAGCUCAACUCCAGAACUGCCUUCGAAACUGAUAGCCUUGAGUUCGGGAGAGGUGAGUGGAACUGCGAGUGUAGAGGUGAAAUUCGUAGAUAUUCGCAAGAACACCAGUGGCGAAGGCGGCUCACUGGCCCGAUACUGACGCUGAGGUGCGAAAGCGUGGGGAGCAAACAGG
rnacentral:rRNA from 1 species